rnacentral:rRNA from 1 species
AACGAACGCUGGCGGCAUGCCUAACACAUGCAAGUCGAACGAGACCUUCGGGUCUAGUGGCGCACGGGUGCGUAACGCGUGGGAACCUGCCCUUAGGUUCGGAAUAACUCCCCGAAAGGGGUGCUAAUACCGGAUAAUGUCUUCGGACCAAAGAUUUAUCGCCUUUGGAUGGGCCCGCGUUGGAUUAGCUAGUUGGUAGGGUAAAAGCCUACCAAGGCGACGAUCCAUAGCUGGUCUGAGAGGAUGAUCAGCCACACUGGGACUGAGACACGGCCCAGACUCCUACGGGAGGCAGCAGUGGGGAAUAUUGGACAAUGGGCGAAAGCCUGAUUCAGCAAUGCCGCGUGAGUGAUGAAGGCCUUAGGGUUGUAAAGCUCUUUUACCCGGGAUGAUAAUGACAGUACCGGGAGAAUAAGCUCUGGCUAACUCCGUG